UGCCAGCAGCCGCGGUAAUACGGAGGGAGCGAGCGUUAAUCGGAAUUACUGGGCGUAAAGCGCGCGUAGGCGGCUUUGUAAGUCGGAUGUGAAAGCCCUGGGCUUAACCUGGGAAUGGCAUUCGAAACUGCAGAGCUAGAGUAUGGUAGAGGGAAGUGGAAUUUCCGGUGUAGCGGUGAAAUGCGUAGAUAUCGGAAGGAACACCAGUGGCGAAGGCGACUUCCUGGGCCAAUACUGACGCUGAGGUGCGAAAGCGUGGGGAGCAAACAGGAUUAGAUA
rnacentral:rRNA from 1 species